CCACAGGGUAACAAAUUCAAUGAAGUCACCACCAUUCCUAAAAGUCCAGCAAAAGCAAGUGGAUCAACGGGAACCCCCACACCCUCCACUGCGUAAGGCAAUACAUUUCCAAGGUCAUCUGUAUAAGGUCCAAUAACAUAUUGGAUGAAAGAAAGUAAGGGAUUGUUGUAGAAGAAUUGUGGCCUUAUAUACAAAGCAUUGUCACCACCAUUAAAGCUACCAUCAGCUACAAAAGCAGCAAUUGCCAGCACUAGCGAUGUCAAGUAUGCACUAGCUGUGCGUGCCACUGGAAUAUCAAAAAGAGCAUUUUUGUUUGGAAGCAAGGACUCAUAGUUAUUCAUGACUCCCAAGCAUCCUGUCCAAUUGGAUGGAACAAGGAAAGAAGGGCUGAGUUUAACACCAUUACGAGCUGCUGUAACCCUCGUUGCUAUCUCAGAAACUCCCAAAAUGGAGAGAAAACCACCAAAAAGAGGAAUAAC
rnacentral:misc_RNA from 1 species